rfam:Myotis lucifugus cont2.9223, whole genome shotgun sequence.
GUCAGUACUCAGGUGAUGCACCCCAGAAUCGGGCUCUCUCCUCUCUGGUUCCGGGUGUGUCACCAGAGAACUGCA